GACGAACGCUGGCGGCGUGCUUAACACAUGCAAGUCGAACGGCAAGGCCCUGCUUUUGUGGGCUGCUCGAGUGGCGAACGGGUGAGUAACACGUGAGUAACCUGGCCUCGACUAAGGGAUAACUUCUGGAAACUGGGGCUAAUACCGGAUAGGAGUUCCUGCUGCAGGGAGGGGGUGGGAAAGGUGCGGUGGUUGGGGCUGGCGUCGGGGCUUAGGAGCUUGUGGUUGGGGUAGUGGGUUACACAGGCGUUGACGGGUAGCCGGCGUGGGAGGGUGACCGGCCACAUUGGGACUACGAGAGGGCCCAGACUGCUACGGGAGGCAGCAGUGGGGAAUAUUGCACAGUGAGCGGAAGCCUGAUACGGAGACGCCGCGUGCGGGAUGACGGCCUUCGGGUUAUAAACCGCUUUCGCCUGUGACGAAGCGUGAGUGACGGUAAUGGGUAAAGAAGCACCGGCUAACUACGUG
rnacentral:rRNA from 1 species